rnacentral:rRNA from 1 species
UGGGGAAUCUUGCGCAAUGGCCUAACGGCUGACGCAGCGACGCCGCGUGUGGGAUGACGCCCUUCGGGGUGUAAACCACUGUUGCCCGGGACGAAGAGCGAACUUCAGUUCGCCUGACGGUACCGGGUGAGGAAGCACCGGCUAACUCCGUGCCAGCAGCCGCGGUAAUACGGAGGGUGCGAGCGUUGUCCGGAAUCACUGGGCGUAAAGGGCGCGUAGGCGGCUUUUUAAGGGUGCGGUGAAAGCCCGGGGCUUAACCCCGGGUCGGCCGUGCCGACUGAAAAGCUGGAGCACUGUAGAGGCAGGUGGAAUUCCGGGUGUAGCGGUGGAAUGCGUAGAGAUCCGGAAGAACACCAGUGGCGAAGGCGGCCUGCUGGGCAGUUGCUGACGCUGAUGCGCGACAGCGUGGGGAGCAAACAG